CCGGCCGCCAGCGGCGCUCGCAAAGUUCGGAUCCGCAAGGACCGGGCCAGCGGGACGUCCGAGUGGCAGGGUGCACUUUCUCCGCGGUCGAGUGCUACGACCGGUUUCGAGGCGGUCAGAAGCCCGGCGGAAAGGUAGCGCCGCCCUUCGGGGUGUCGUGUUAUAGGCCGCCGCGGUGGACUCGCCGCGAGACCGAGGACGCUUGCCGCGCCGAGCGGUCCCGGGCCGUCUUGGGAGGUUCGACCUCGGCUGCACUGCUCCGCAGAGCACCGUAACCGCCGCCCUAGCACGGGUCCGGAGACCGCCGGCGCCUCGGGUCAGUAGCG
rnacentral:rRNA from 1 species